CCACUCCAAGAUGAUGAGGUUCUCUCUUAUUUACUUGCUGGCCUUCCUGCUGAAUAUGAUCCGUUUGUUACUUCCAUUACCACCAAGACAGAUCCUCUCUCGCUUGACGAUGUGUUCGCCCAUCUGAUGGCGUUCGAAGC
rfam:Zea mays cultivar B73 chromosome 6, whole genome shotgun sequence.